rnacentral:rRNA from 1 species
CGGAGGGAUCAUUACCGAGUUUA